UGUAUCUGAAGUCUGACGAGGAUGAGAACCUCCGGAGGGCAAGAGGUUCGACCCGAGCGAAGCGAGAAAACGUUGCGUCAGCAACGGCCCGCAGGGCGAGCCAUCCUCUAUCACCGGCAG
rnacentral:sRNA from 2 species